GCUCAUUAAGUCACAUGUGAAAUCCCCGGGCUUAACCUGGGAACUGCAUGUGAUACUGGUGGUGCUAGAAUAUGUGAGAGGGAAGUAGAAUUCCAGGUGUAGCGGUGAAAUGCGUAGAGAUCUGGAGGAAUACCGAUGGCGAAGGCAGCUUCCUGGCAUAAUAUUGACACUGAGAUUCGAAAGCGUGGUAGCAAACAGGAUUAGAUACCCUGGUAGUCCACGCCGUAAACGAUGUCUACUAGCCGUUGGGGUCCUUGAGACUUUAGUGGCGCAGUUAACGCGAUAAGUAGACCGCCUGGGGAGUACGGCCGCAAGGUUAAAACUCAAACGAAUUGACGGGGGCCCGCACAAGCGGUGGAGCAUGUGGUUUAAUUCGAUGCAACGCGAAGAACCUUACCUGGUCUUGACAUAGUGAGAAUCUCUCAGAGAUGAGAGAGUGCCUUCGGGAACUCACAUACAGGUGCUGCAUGGCUGUCGUCAGCUCGUGUCGUGAGAUGUUGGGUUAAGUCCCGCAACGAGCGCAACCCUUUUCCUUAUUUGCCAGCGGGUUAAGCCGGGAACUUUAAGGAUACUGCCAGUGACAAACUGGAGGAAGGCGGGGACGACGUCAAGUCAUCAUGGCCCUUACGACCAGGGCUACACACGUGCUACAAUGGUAGGUACAGAGGGUUGCUACACAGCGAUGUGAUGCUAAUCUCAAAAAGCCUAUCGUAGUCCGGAUUGGAGUCUGCAACUCGACUCCAUGAAGUCGGAAUC
rnacentral:rRNA from 1 species